UGCAGUCGAACGAUGAACCCCACUUGUGGGGGGAUUAGUGGCGAACGGGUGAGUAACACGUGAGUAACCUGCCCUUAACUCUGGGAUAAGCCUGGGAAACUGGGUCUAAUACCGGAUAUGACUCCUCAUCGCAUGGUGGGGGGUGGAAAGCUUUUUGUGGUUUUGGAUGGACUCGCGGCCUAUCAGCUUGUUGGUGAGGUAAUGGCUCACCAAGGCGACGACGGGUAGCCGGCCUGAGAGGGUGACCGGCCACACUGGGACUGAGACACGGCCCAGACUCCUACGGGAGGCAGCAGUGGGGAAUAUUGCACAAUGGGCGCAAGCCUGAUGCAGCGACGCCGCGUGAGGGAUGACGGCCUUCGGGUUGUAAACCUCUUUCAGUAGGGAAGAAGCCGCAAGGUGACGGUACCUGCAGAAGAAGCGCCGGCUAACUACGUGCCAGCAGCCGCGGUAAUACGUAGGGCGCAAGCGUUAUCCGGAAUUAUUGGGCGUAAAGAGCUCGUAGGCGGUUUGUCGCGUCUGCCGUGAAAGUCCGGGGCUCAACUCCGGAUCUGCGGUGGGUACGGGCAGACUAGAGUGAUGUAGGGGAGACUGGAAUUCCUGGUGUAGCGGUGAAAUGCGCAGAUAUCAGGAGGAACACCGAUGGCGAAGGCAGGUCUCUGGGCAUUAACUGACGCUGAGGAGC
rnacentral:rRNA from 1 species